CAUUAAUACUAUUGGUAAUAUAUCUUAGUUUUAUAACUAAAAUAAUUUGGCAGUGAGCGAUUCUUAUUAGGGGAAGGUGUGGUGUAAAGGAUGGUCCGCCUAAUAAUUCACUUUUAUUAUAUUGGUGUAUAUCUGGUUUAAUAUUAUUGUUGAGUAACAGAAGUUGUGUAAUAUUAUUUAAGCCAAGUCUAUGUGCUGUUUAUAAAAGUAUUCAUGCGUUACAUUAAUAAAUGUUAGAUUGUGAUAUUUGAUAAUUUAGGACUUAAAAGUAAUGUUUAAUAAGUUAGUAAACGUGAAAAGAGUUUAGCUCAGGUACACACCGCCCGUCACCCUCGAUGAUUAUUGAG
rnacentral:rRNA from 1 species